UACGGGGGGAGCAAGCGUUGUUCGGAUUUACUGGGCGUAAAGGGCGCGUAGGCGGUAGCACAAGUCAGUUGUGAAAUCUCCGGGCUUAACUCGGAAAGGUCAACUGAUACUGUGCGACUAGAGUGCAGAAGGGGCAACUGGAAUUCUCGGUGUAGCGGUGAAAUGCGUAGAUAUCGAGAGGAACACCUGCGGCGAAGGCGGGUUGCUGGGCUGACACUGACGCUGAUGCGCGACAGCGUGGGGAGCAAACAGG
rnacentral:rRNA from 1 species